UCGGCAAUGGGGGAAACCCUGACCGAGCAACGCCGCGUGAAUGAUGAAGGUCUUCGGAUUGUAAAAUUCUGUGGUAAGAGAAGAAAGAUAUAAAGAGGAAAUGCUUUGUAUUUGACGGUAUCUUGCUAGAAAGCCACGGCUAACUACGUGCCAGCAGCCGCGGUAAUACGUAGGUGGCAAGCGUUAUCCGGAAUUACUGGGCGUAAAGAGUGAGCAGGCGGUUAGAUAAGUCUAUGGUUAAAUGCAACAGCUCAACUGUUGUUCGCUAUAGAAACUAUUUAACUAGAGUGCGGGAGAGGUAAGUGGAACUCCAUAUGUAGCGGUGGAAUGCUUAGAUAUAUGGAAGAACACCAGAGGCGAAGGCGGCUUACCAGUCCGUAACUGACGCUCAGUCACGAAAGCGUGGGGAGCAAAUAGGAUUAGAUAUCCUAGUAGUCCACGCCGUAAACGAUGAGAACCUGAUGCAGGAGAUAUUCUGUGUCGAAGCUAACGCGUUAAGUUCUCCGCCUGGGUACUACGUUCGCAAGAAUAAAACUUAAAGGAAUUGACGGGCGCCCGCACAAGCAGUGGAGCAUGGGGUUUAAUUCGUCGAUACACGAAAAACCUUACCAGGGCUUGACAUCCCGCUAAAAGCCUUAGAAAUAAGGAAAUAGUUAUAGCGGUGACAGGUGGUGCAUGGUUGUCGUCAGCUCGUGCCGUGAGGUGUUAGGUUAAGUCCUCAAACGAGCGCAACCCUUGUCUUUAGUUGCCAUUAUUAAUUUAGGAACUCUAGAGAGACUGCCGGCGCAAGCCGGAGGAAGGCGGGGAUGACGUCAAAUCAUCAUGCCCUUUAUGCCCUGGGCCACACCCGUGCUACAAUGGUCGGUACAAAGAGAAGCAACACUGUGAGGUGAAGCAAAUCCCAUAAAGCCGAUCUCAAUUCGGAUUGAAGUCUGCAACUCGACUUCAUGAAGCUGGAAUUGCUAGUAAUCGCAGAUCAGCAACGCUGCGGUGAAUACGUUCUCGGGCGUUGUACACACUGCCCGUCACACCAUGAGAGCCGGUAAUACUCGAAGUCGUUAGCCUAACCGUAAGGAGGGCGGCGCCUAAGGUAGGACUGGUGAUUGGGGUUAAGUCGUAACAAGGUAUCCCUACGAGAACGUGGGGAUG
rnacentral:rRNA from 1 species